AGCGCAGAUGGCUGAGGUGGCUUGUGACGCAGGGCGGCAGGGCCGUGGCUAAGUCCUGUCUGCGUGUAUGGAGCCGGGCGCCUGUCCGUCUCCAAAUGCAGGAGAACCCUGCCCCACCCCAGCCCAGAAUGGAUGCUCACGCGUGAGGCUCUUUCCACCCUCCCUCUCCCUGCUGCCUGCCGCCUCCCUCCUUGGCUGUUAGGGCUUCCUGAGCUGACUGCUUGGGGGACAUGGAGACUCCCAGGAAACAAAAGCAAGAAGGGAAAGAAUGGGCUGCAGCUUCUGUGGGCGCGGAGGGCGGAGUCUGGAAGUAAAGACCAGCUCUUCCGCAGCCCUGGGCCGGAGCACUGGGGCGGAUCGCAAUCCCCAGACGCCGGGAGAUCGCCGCGGGCCUUAGUGACAGCUAACUCCCAGGAAGCCAGCCAGUGUCGGGUGCUGUGUGUGGACCGCCCAGAUGAUGACCACCUUCAGAGGUGGGCACUGUUCCACAAAUUUUCCAGGCGGGACAACCAAGGGACCCUCCCACGGUGAGGCCGUGCGGAUCUCGUUUUGGCCAGGCUGUUCUCCUGGCUCGCGGCCAGAAGAAGGCCUGGGGGUGAAUCCAGACAUCUCAUCUAAAAUAUCCCAAAUCAAGCAAAUAUCACAUCGAAUCUUCAGAGCCAGUAGCAGCACGGCGAAAGGAAACUUCUGGUGUGUUUGUGUGGCAGGUAAUUGUGGUGUCAACAUGAAGAAGAAAGGCCUAGCCAAGGGGCUGGCAUGGUUCUAGGUGUGUGUGGACGCCUGACUUCCUGAAGAGGAGAGACCCACCCGGACGUGGGUGGCACCAGCCAACAGGCUUGUAACUUGGACCGACACAAAGGGAAAGAAGGAGGCAAAAUCUUCCUCACUGUGUCUCUACAACUCUGUUAGCCUAUCCUUGGCUUUUUGUUUUUCCAGGAGUUUCUCAUGAAAGACCAAUUGACAGUGACAUACCUGAGAAUCAUGCUGAUUUGCAGCCAGAGUAAUUCCACUGACUUGUGUCUUAUUGAAAAGUUUUUUA